GAUGAACGCUGGCGGCGUGCCUAAUACAUGCAAGUCGAGCGAAUGGAUUAAGAGCUUGCUCUUAUGAAGUUAGCGGCGGACGGGUGAGUAACACGUGGGUAACCUGCCCAUAAGACUGGGAUAACUCCGGGAAACCGGGGCUAAUACCGGAUAACAUUUUGAACCGCAUGGUUCGAAAUUGAAAGGCGGCUUCGGCUGUCACUUAUGGAUGGAACCGCGUCGCAUUAGCUAGUUGGUGAGGUAACGGCUCACCAAGGCAACGAUGCGUAGCCGACCUGAGAGGGUGAUCGGCCACACUGGGACUGAGACACGGCCCAGACUCCUACGGGAGCCAGCAGUAGGGAAUCUUCCGCAAUGGACGAAAGUCUGACGGAGCAACGCCGCGUGAGUGAUGAAGGCUUUCGGGUCGUAAAACUCUGUUGUUAGGGAAGAACAAGUGCUAGUUGAAUAAGCUGGCACCUUGACGGUACCUAACCAGAAAGCCACGGCUAACUACGUGCCAGCAGCCGCGGUAA
rnacentral:rRNA from 1 species